UACGGAGGGUGCAAGCGUUAUCCGGAUUCACUGGGUUUAAAGGGUGCGUAGGUGGGCAGGUAAGUCAGUGGUGAAAUCUUUGGGCUUAACCCGAAAACUGCCAUUGAUACUAUUUGUCUUGAAUAUUGUGGAGGUCAGCGGAAUAUGUCAUGUAGCGGUGAAAUGCUUAGAUAUGACAUAGAACACCAAUUGCGAAGGCAGCUGGCUACGCAAAUAUUGACACUGAUGCACGAAAGCGUGGGGAUCAAACAGG
rnacentral:rRNA from 1 species